UCAUUGCUUGGUAUAAAACAAGUGUAUUGUGGCAGUGCAAAUGAUAAUUUUGGAGGCUGUGGAUCGAUAUAGUCACUGCAUUCUGGAGAUCAUUCGAGGAGGGGUUUCAAGUGCCAAGGAGGAAUAAUAGCAUCAAAAGCAGUCUCUCUUCUACGGGCUUUCUAUGAGCAGGGAAAUCCCAAUGCACCUAGGCCUUAUAGACCACCGAGUCAAUUGGCUUAGGACUGUGUAGAUUCUCUGAUUUAGAUCAAUGAAAGUGAUCGACUCUUUCUUGUUCCUAAAAUGAUACCUCUGUAAUCAUUCAUUAUUAAGAGAUUUGUUAGUGAAAUAAGGAUUGCAUCAGUAAGCUUCGAAGUAAGGCCUUAUCUAUCUUCCCCACAAAUUUUUAAUUGCCUUCGAAAUCUGUCUUUUGAAGUUUUCGUUCGACAUUUGUAACUAAGUAGUUUCGCAGCUAAAAAACCUACAAUCCAGAUUCCGACAUAUAAUGAGCUGUAGAAUUAUAGUAGACUUUGUGACAAGGGAAGAAGCCCCAAAUUGGGGUGAUUGACUCUGCCAAGAAAAAGAAAUUGCGCCAAAAAUGAACAAAUUUGGGUUAUUGGUUCAUUGUUUUUCCCCCUUUUCGUUAAAUGCACUAAGCCCUCCUUAAAUUUAUACCUAAAUGCUGUUUAAUAAUUUUUAGGCACUUAAUUUUAUACCUAAAUGUUCCCUAAAAAAAAACCUUUAUACCUAAAUGAUAUAUAUAUAUAUAUGUAUAUAUAUAUAUAUAUACUCGAUCAAAUGUACCGUUGUUAUGUUAAUUACCUUUAUCGCCUUUGUUUACUUUUAAUUUCUUUUCUUUCUAUCUCCCUUUUCUCAUGCUACUUUUCAUAUUAUCUGUAAAUAAUUGUACAUUUUAGUGUAGGAUAGGAGUUUAUUUGAAAGAUUUAUUUGAAAUAAUAGUGAUGUGAUGUAUGUGAAAUAAAAAAGUAAUUAAAAUUUGAAAAGCAAAUUAUUUUAUUUCACAAUAUUUCAAUCCAAACACACCUGGGAAAUUUGGAAAGCAACUCCCUCUUCGUUUCAUUAUUUAGAAAUAUUUUACUAAUAAAUAAGCGUCCUGUGGCCAUUGAUGGGUAGGCAGACCAAAAAAAAUCCCAGUUUUUGGAAAAAUUUUCCCUAUCCUUUUCUCCAUUUUCUGAUUUCUUUCUUCUUUUCCCUUUAAAAACUGUUUAAAGGACUAAAGUUUCAGCCACCCCUGCCCGGGCUACUCCCAUCUGAGCCCUGGUUCCCCCGACCUCUCCAGACUCCUCGUCGCCGUCAAUCCGACGUUUCCUCCUGUAAGUCGCCGUGAAUGACCUAAGGCCUCCACAUCGCCUGCUCUUGGUCAAGUUUGUUUCUUAACUUUUUGUUCAUCAAAAUUAAAGUUUUUUUAUGUAAAUUGAAAUAGUCAGGGCUUUGUUACAGUUUCUUGCCUGUUGAUUUCUUUAGCACAUGGAGUCAGGGAUUAGCUUUCUUGCUUUUUGUUAUGAAUUUGCCAUGAAAUCUUGCUGAAACUUUCCUUUGAACUUGCCGUGUGAUAUUUGCAGCUUAUUUAUGUUUGUCCUGUGGAGCUAUUUUUAUUUAUUAUUGCUGUUUUUAAUUCCAAAUAGCAAAAAAUCGACACUUUUAUCUAAUUUACAUGAGAAUAGGAAUGGGUUUCUUAAAAAUCGACUUCAAAGUGGAUUUCAGAAACGGAUUUCUUCUCCGUUUUACCCCCUCCCCUCUUUGCUUUUCUGCUCUUGCUUUUUCCUUUUGCAAUUCACACGACUCCCUAAGAGAGGCAUUCAAACACGGGGGCCUUCGUUUUGGUACACCACAAAUCCACCAUAACUGAUCCCGAUAAUUGAGUAAUUAUUGACACCAUCUUUUCCUACAAAUUUCCAACAUAUACAUUUCAUUUUGGAAAAGCUGGGAUCUUUCAUUGGACAGCAGUGUAUGCUAAAUUCAUGGGCAAAGUACUAUAUGCCCCCUUGAAGAUUGUAGGCAUCAUAUUCAUACAUCGGUUGGCCGUGAAUUGGGAUUAUAGAGGUUUUAUAGGUGAAAAGGUUUCAGUUUUGGACGCCAAAGUUGUAUUGUGACCUGAUUAUGUUGUUUACUGUUCUUGGAGGUAGUAUUUAGUACUUAACAUGCUUGAUUAAGAAGAGUAUAUAGUCACGUUAUCAAAACUAGGGACAGUUGUGCUAAAAGCCUUAAGUAUUUAAUACUACCUUUCCUCUCAGCGGAGACCUUAUUCUUGCAAAAAUACUUCGUUUGGAUUAACUGUUUUUGGGGGUGUUUUUGAAAAAUGUUACUGUAGCAGAGUUUUUAUAGUAUAUUUUGGGAUUUUUUAGAAUAUAUUUUGGGGUAUUUAAAAGUAAUAAAGUUUUUAGAAUAUAUUUUGGGAUAUUUUUCAAACAUUAAAAAAAAUUUAAACUACUUUUAGAGUACUUUUUAAAAAUUUUUAUAGUAUUUGAAAAACUCUUGCUUUGGAUGAUGCUAUACCAUUACUGUAAAUCAUGGCAGACGGUUUUGGUACAGCCAACAAAUUUCCAGCUACAACAUCUGUUAUUAUUCCCUAGUUUAUAUAACAGUGAAGUAAGUGUUCGCAUCAUACCGAGCAGGGAAUUUGAUGUUAACUUCCAAGUUGUCUUACUCGCUGGUUUCUUUAUUUUUUUUGGUGGGAAUUAUUUAUGAAGAGUGAAAACUGAAGAAUAGAGUAACAAUGUCGAGAUUACUGCAGCUUAUGAUCUGCUAUUCAUAACGGAUGAAAGAUGUAGAUCAAGUUUGCUGUAUUGAAAUCAACGUUGUAAAAUGUAGUUAAACACUUGAUAUUUCUGUUAGAGAAGCUAAAGCUAAAUUAAAAUUAUUGCCAUGAAAAUACAAAUUCAGUUGUUUUCCAUUUACUUGUCACAAUUAUAUCAUAUCAUGUCAAUAGAACUUCAUGCCAACACUAAACACUGAUCUAGUACAACUCCGUUUUUCAUGUCCGUCUAAAGUGAUUUCUUCCUUGCAAUAACCAUGGCUGCAAACGCUCCACAGAGACAAUAAUAUCACGCAGAGAGUUUUCCAGUUUCUAACAUUAUUGCUUCUCUUCAACUGCAUUUUGUUCAAACAUCAAAACAGUGCAAACAUUAGGCGUCAUCCUUCUUUCCUUUGCUCAUUUCUCUUGCCUUUUCCUCUAUCUUUCUUUUCCUGGUUGAUGGCGGUUGGUUGAUUUUCAGAUGAUCAUCAGCUACAAAAUCAUCUAAAAAGCAUGUAAAACUUCCUGCGAAAAUCAAUUUGCCCUCUUUUGGAGUUAAGAGAAAAAGAGACAGAGAGAACCGAAUUGAUACUUCUUUGGCGUGAAAUAAGGAGUCGUGUGGCCCUUGUAAGUUUUAAGAGCUAGUGGCAAGAUAAUGAAGCUGAGCAAAAGUAAAAGCAGGCGGACUUAUUGACAACGUUUACUGAUUAGAUAUAUGGAACUACUACAUGUUAUUUCUUUUCUUUUAAUUUUGCACACACACACACAUAUAUAUAUAUAUAUAUAUUGGGUUUUGGUUGCUAAUUAGAAUAAAAUAGGCAAUCUGAAUAUAUAUUAUUGACCAUUACUAUCCUGCUCAAAGCAACCCCCUUCCCCCCACGGCCGCCCCAAAAAAAACCCUUCCUGCCUUUACUUUUUGCAGCACAUAUGAUAAAUUUCAAUGUAAUUUUUGGAUAUUUCCUAUUUAUAAUUCUUUCUAUUUUAUCAUCUAAUCCAACUUUUCGUCAUAUGACUUUUUUUUUUUUGGAACCGUCGUCAUAUGACUAAAACUGCAAUUAUUUUUUUUAACAAGAUUUGGCUUAAAUUAGGCUAUAAAGCCUAUACCGAUCAAUAAGUAGGAAUAAAACUUUUCGGUUUCAAAAGAAGAUGCCCUCCCUAACUUACCCUGCUCCUCUUGUGGCCUCCUUUGGUUCCAUCAGUUAGUCUCUCUCACCUUUCUCGCUGGAAGUCUCCAAUCUCUCAAAGUUCAAUCGGCCACCGGCAAUUUCUCUUCCUUGCUAUACUCUCUUCUUUUUGCUACUGGCAUACCACCAAAACACUAGCAUCCGUUUCUUACUUAAUUCGUGUAAUUAAUCAUUAGCUACACACUAACUCGGAAAACUUCCAGAUUAGCAUUAGAUUGUUAUUGAAUUUAUUGGGCUGCUAUCUCUCACUUCCUUAUUUGAUGUCUAGUUGCAUUUGUCUUUUUUUUCUUCUUCUUUUUUGAGUGAAUCAAGCAUGUAACUUCGUUUACCUGUCUGGGUUUUCUAUAUACUUAUUACUAUUGGAGAAAGUUGAUUCCUUUACUUAAUUUUCUAAAACCCCACUUGCAUUUAGUAAAUUUGAGUCACAAUUUCCAAGUAUUGCACACUAAUUUGAUCAAAAAAUUGCAUUUUGUUAAAGUGUAUUUUUUUUAUGUGACAAGUGUAAUAUGCAUUUUGAACUCAAAUUUUGCUUUGUAAUUGUGGUAUAAUGUGAUUUUCAAAGUAAAGAAAGAAAAAUAAUCUUUUUCCUAAGAAGAAAAUCGUUACUUAAGUGGCUGAUAGAUGCAUUUUAAUGCAUUUUCCUUUUGUUUUCUUCUUCUGCCCCUUUUUGUCAGCCAUCUUCAACUAUAUACAUGUCGGUACUUGCAGUCACAGAAAGACUGCAGAUGGAGAUGGUGCCAGAUACCGAAGCAUUUAUGAAGUUUGCAUUCCACCAAGCAAAGCUUGCUUUAGAUAACCUUGAAGUUCCUGUUGGCUGUGUCAUUGUGGAUGAAGGAAAUAAUAUUAUUGCCUCUGGAAGAAAUCGAACCACUGAGAGCCGAAAUGCUACGAGGCAUGCAGAGAUGGAAGCCAUUGAUGUGCUUUUGGACCAAUGGCGAGAAAAUGGACUUUCAAAGGAUCAAGUUGCUGAAAAGUUUUCAAACUGCACCCUUUAUGUCACAUGCGAGCCGUGCAUUAUGUGUGCUGCAGCCUUAUCAAUGCUUGGUAUAAAACAAGUGUAUUAUGGCUGUGCAAAUGAUAAAUUUGGAGGUUGUGGAUCGAUAUUGUCACUGCAUUCUGAAGAUCCUUCGAGGAGGGGUUUCAAGUGCCAAGGAGGAAUAAUAGCAUCAGAAGCAGUCUCUCUUCUACGGGUUUUCUAUGAGCAGGGAAAUCCCAAUGCACCUAGGCCUCAUAGACCACCGAGUCAAUUGGUUUAGGACUCUGUAGAUUCUCUGAUUUAGAUCAAUGAAAGUGACCGACUCUUUGUUGCUCCUACAAUGAUACCUCUGUAAUCAUUCAUUA
rnacentral:lncRNA from 1 species